rnacentral:rRNA from 1 species
AGGGCUUCGGCCCCGGUACAGUGGCGCACGGGUGAGUAACACGUAGAUCAUCUUCCCUCGAGUGGUGGAUAACUCUCCGAAAGGAGAGCUAAUACAGCAUGAGACCACGGCUUCGUUGAAGCUGCGGCCAAAGCAGGCCUCUACACGUAAGCUUGCGCUUGAGGAUGAGUCUGCGGCCCAUCAGCUAGUUGGUAGGGUAAUGGCCUACCAAGGCUAAGACGGGUAGCUGGUCUGAGAGGAUGAACAGCCACACUGGAACUGAGACACGGUCCAGACUCCUACGGGAGGCAGCAGUGGGGAAUCUUGCGCAAUGGGCGAAAGCCUGACGCAGCGACGCCGCGUGAGCGAUGAAGGCCUUCGGG